rnacentral:rRNA from 1 species
GUGUCAGCCGCCGCGGUAAUACGUAGGGGGCAAGCGUUAUCCGGAUUCAUUGGGCGUAAAGAGCUCGUAGGCGGCCCGUUAGGUCAGGAGUCAAAUUCGGGGGCUCAACCCCCGCGCGCUCCUGAUACCGGCGGGCUUGAGUUUGGUAGGGGAAGGUGGAAUUCCCAGUGUAGCGGUGGAAUGCGCAGAUAUUGGGAAGAACACCGGUGGCGAAGGCGGCCUUCUGGGCCAUAACUGACGCUGAGGAGCGAAAGCUAGGGGAGCGAACAGGAUUAGAUACCCUGGUAGUCCUAGCCGUAAACGAUGGACACUAGGUGUGGGCGAAUGUUUCGUCCGCGCCGCAGCCAACGCAUUAAGUGUCCCGCCUGGGGAGUACGGCCGCAAGGCUAAAACUCAAAGAAAUUGACGG